CAAUAAAACUUAACCAAGUGCUUAGUUGCAUUAAAAUUGCAUGCAUAUGAUGGAUGCUCGCGAUCAAAGCAAUAUCAGUGCGCUUAGAUCGACCAACAAAAAAACAAAAGACCUGGCACAGAUCGAGACCGCACUAUGCCAAUCCCCCCCCCCUCCCCCGGGGCUUCUCGCUAACUCUCUGCUCUUUCCGGCCUUCUCUUCUAUGGCCACCACGACCACCUCUCUUGCAUCACUGUAUAAUCAUUUCAUCCUUUACCUGUCUCUCUUGAAGCUUCUCAGGCUGGAUCUGGCAUUGCUGGCGUACCCGAACAUCAACCAUUGUCUCUUUUUUAUUUCCUGCACUUUCACUCAUAUAUGCACUCUCUCUUUGCCUAAUUUCUUUUGUCAAAUUUAUACGCAGGUUGCAAUUUUUUCAACCUUAGGGUUUCGAAUUUGGGGCUUGUGCAGCAGCCUAUCAAAUUUGUUUCCCUCGUUACAAAAUUGGAGUUUAUCUUGACACGCAUACAGACUUUCCUUGACGAGUUCAGUCACUGUGAUUUGAAUCUAGAUUCGGUAUAGAUUUGAAUCCAUGUAGCUUAUUUUUGUUUCUGGUUUGCUAUAUGGCUAAGAUUUUAUCUUUUAAUUUUAUUCUUCUGGGCAUGAAAGAGGCAUAUUGGUGAGAUAAUGUUUUUAACGUUAUUUUUGCAUGCCAGUGAUUAGUUGUAAAUGUAAUAGCAUAUAUGCUUGGUACGUUUUGUUGAAUUGUGAUGUAUGCCGCUAUUUUCCUCUUCCAGAUAUGCUUGGUAUGUUUUGUUUUCUCUAUUAUGUUGGUUUACUGGAAUUAUUGUUGGUUGGAAUUAUGGAUGAGGACUUAGAAAUAGUAAUUGAUAAUGCUUCUUGUGGAUGUUCUUUGAUUUUGCAAGUUUUAACUUCUCAUUACAUUAAUUUAUUUUAUGUGCUAUUUUACUUUGAUUCUUUAUACAUAUAUGCUUAUGUGUAACUAAUUUGGUCAUGAUCUGCCAUGUUUCUUUUGCAAAACAGUGUAUGAUGUGAGUUUGAGUGAUGAGAGCUGACCUCAAGAUCUCUUUGAUUUUGUCAGCGGCAAGUGCUUUCAAGUCAUGGGAAAGGCUUGAUGCCAACUGUUUAAUAUGACUCUUGCUGCUUUGUAUGGUUUCUACUUUCCACUUCUUCUGUUUAUUAUUUACUAAUUCUGCAUACUAGUUUCCAGAGGUGGCAUUAUAUCCCACUCAUUUGAAUUGGGGGCCAAGAUGAAAGGACUGUUUAGUGGUGCAACAGCUGUUAUUACAUUUCUCUUUCCCUCAAAGGCUGCUUUGCAAGUUGAAUAUAAUGUCCAAAUUCCUUAUAUAAUGCAAGCUUUUCUUGUUUCCUUUAGGAGGCAUAUUCUGUGCCUUUUCCCUUUACUCUUGUUCUUUCUUAGUAGGAGCCCUCCAUUUAACGCAAUGACUUGUACUUUUUCCACAGCAGAGUGUUGAUGCUUUUAUCAACUGUGUUGUGAAAAACAGAGGAUUCAACUAGGGAAAGCACGUUGCCUGUUUGAUCAGAAUGUGGAAGGACCAGUCACAUAUACAAUUGUUAUACUUUUGAUGAGAAUACUCCACUUGUUGAUGAUCCAGAGUACGUCUCUGCAUUGGGUGAAACAGUAUUCAAGGGACUGCAAAGCGGAGAUAAGGAUGGGGUCUGGUUAAUGCAGGAGAGAGAUCUUUUUGCAGUUCAGUGAUGGACCAAGAGAGAUGAUAUAUUGUUCUUAUUUCAGAUGAAAGAAGAGUGAAAGGAGUCUCUUGUAGAGUUGUUUACAAUAAUUUGUAUUUACAGAUUUAAAUA